UGGACAGAGUAGAUCGAAUCCAGAUUACGCCA
rnacentral:piRNA from 1 species